AUGUUCUCGUCGACGUCCCUGUCCCGCGUCAACAACAUCCGAGCUGCCCUCACAAAUGCGCAGAAGGGGACGCAAUCGGUGGCUACCUUCUUCGCGUACAUGCCGGGACUCGCCGACGAGCUCGCCGCGGCUGGCAAGCCGUUGAAGGAUGAUGAACUCAUCUCGUACAUCCUCAACACACUCGACAUGGAGUAUCAGCCGCUGGUUUCCGCCCUCGACGCCAGAACCACUCCGGUCACCCUCGACGAAUUGUUCAGACAGAUGAGCAAUUUUGAUCAGAGGGUGGCUCUUUUCCAAGGCGCGGGAGGUGGCUUCAAGUCAUCUGCCAAUGUUGCCACCCGCGGCCGUGGCGGGGGCUCUCGUUACCGCGGUCCACCGCGGAACGGAAAGGGCAGGCGCGGCGGCCGGCCUCCCUCCUCCAACAACAAAGGCCGCCGCAACAGCAACUCCAACAACAGAUCACGCCCCGACAUCAGGUGCCAAAUCUGUGGCAAGCCGGGUCACUCGGCAAAGGACUGCUGGUAUCGUUUUGAGGAGGAUGAAGAUGACUCA
rnacentral:rRNA from 1 species